rnacentral:rRNA from 1 species
GUCUCAACCACAGGCCCGGCGAAAUUGCAGUACGAGUAAAGAUGCUCGUUUCGCGCAGCAGGACGGAAAGACCCCGGGACCUUCACUACAGCUUGGCAUUGGCGCUUGGAGCGUCUUGUGUAGGAUAGGUGGGAGACUGUGAAGCCGGCACGCCAGUGUCGGUGGAGUCGUUGGUGAAAUACCACUCUGGUCGUUUUGAGCGUCUAACCCGCACCCGUGUAUCCGGGUGGGGGACAGUGCCUGGUGGGUAGUUUAACUGGGGCGGUUGC